CUUCUUCAAUUUGCUGAGGACAAAUGAAAUGAAUAUGUGAAUCAAUACCACCAGCUGUCAGUAUCGCGCCUUCCCCCGCCAAGAUCUCUGUGCCGGGACCGAUAACAAUGGUCACGCCCGGUUGAAUAUCCGGAUUGCCAGCCUUACCUAUCGCCUGAAUUCGACCCUGCUUUAUCGCCACAUCCGCUUUCACGAUUCCCCAAUAGUCGAGGAUCACAGCGUUAGUGAUCACCAGAUCCGGCGUGUCUGCGCUCGUGCGCUGGCUCUGUCCCAUGCCAUCGCGAAUG
rnacentral:sRNA from 1 species